AUGAGGGAGCCUGGCCCUGCUGACCAAGAGCCAGCCCUGCCUCCCACCCACCCUGACCUCACCGCUGCGCCCGUGGCUGCACCCAGCUCCUCCGUGGCCCUGGCUUCCACCCCGUACAUGUGGGGGGCUUCUGCUCCGCCCCCUCCUGUUCUGGGGUCCAGCGGGCCGGGCUCUGCACUUCCCGCAGCCCAGCGAUGCGGGGGCGGAAGGGUGGUCGGCAGUGGGAAAGGGUGGAGGGCAGAUGCCCGGCUGACUCUUCCUAUGCGCUGCUUUUGCUACCAGAAUCAGGGAGCACAGAUUCGGCCUUGAGAACGCCUGCAACGACUUCAGGCCCACCCCAACGCAGAGCUCCACAUCCAGAGGCCAAAGGUGGUGGCCUCCACUCUGUGAGCCAGUGGGGGCCUCCCACCCUCAUCUGUCUCUGGACAGGAGAGCAGCAGAGCCCAGCAGAGACCGCCAAAGUCAGGCCCUGAAGCUGGUCCUGCUCUGAGCUGACAGACUUGGCCGGUCCCUUGCCUGUGCGCCUGCUGGGGAAAUGGAGGGCUGUGAGCCCCUCCAUCCAGAAACCUCCGCACCCUGUCUGCUCCUGGGUGGCUCCCCACUCUGGAAUUUCCCUACCAAUAAAAGCAGAUCUUAAAGCUCAGAAUGUGAACUGAGAGGUUCCCUUUCCCUCUUUCUGCAGUUCAGGGUUGUGGGUAGAGUCCUCCUGGGAAG
rnacentral:lncRNA from 1 species